GCAAAUGUAUUUAAUAUGAAAAUAGUAUCUUUAAAAAUGGAAGUGUUAUGCCAAUUUUUUAAAAACCUGAUAAAAAGAAUAUAGGUUCCAAAUUGGAUGGAAAUUAAAGACAUGAUUUGCUGAUCUCAGUUCUAUUUUCUUUGCUGUCGGGGCAGAGAGUAAAUAUUUUAGGUAGAUAUUCUUCUUCCUUUUCUAUCAACCCUUUAAGAAGGUAAAAACCACCCCAGAGCUCACUGGCUAUGGGGCCAAACGUGGCCUGUAGGCAACAGUUUGCCACACUUGACUUAGGUAAGAGAAGUACUCAGUAGUAUGGCUUCCGAUAACCAUUUAUUAUUUCUAAAAUCUUUACUCCUCCUGAGUUCAUUCAAGCAACAGAAAAAAUUCAGAAUGGAAGACAGAGAGAGAUGAUCACGCUGCUUCUUGAUUAACCACAAUGGUUUCUUCAUACCAUCUCCCCAUCCCCAUCCCCGAUUUCAGUGAGAAAGAAUCUUUGUACAGCAAGGAGAGAAGAUGCCUAAGAAUUAAAGACACAGUUGCAGUACUUAGGUUACUUGGCCACAGCCACUGAACCCCGCUAAUCUGUGAAGUCUGCACCACGUGUUUGAAUAGACCAGGAAGUAGAAAAAUGCAAGCCAAGUCCUCAUUUAUUAAGGUAACUGUUGCCAGGGAAAUGUCACCAGAAUAAUAUCAGACGAGCAUUUCACAGUUGGGGUGGGGAAACAGCACAUGAUUAGACUUCUAGUUAGGACUUUUACCUUGAAAUUUAAAUUCAUAUGUAGCAAUAACUUGAUGUUUUAUAUAUACUAACACGUAGGUCUGAAGAGCAAUUGGCUGUUAAUUUUUGGUAAAAACACAAUGUUGCUUUUGAAAGAGAAUAAGCUGUCGAGAUUAGAAGUGCUCUUGAGAAAAGCAAAAAACUUUUAAUAGUUUUACAAAAAUAACCUGUUUAUGAACAUGCUGAAA